AAAUCCUUUAAGUAUCUGUCCAGAGAGGCGGACAAGGAGUUUCACAGCCAAGACUAGGUUUUUUCCCAUGCCUUCGUUUUACUGAAGUCUCCUUGUAUAAAGGAGACUUUUUUUCUA
rfam:Streptococcus sp. DD13 genomic scaffold scaffold00001, whole genome shotgun sequence.